GGAGGAGCACGAAGGUUGGCUAAUCCUGGUCGGACAUCAGGAGGUUAGUGCAAUGGCAUAAGCCAGCUUGACUGCGAGCGUGACGGCGCGAGCAGGUGCGAAAGCAGGUCAUAGUGAUCCGGUGGUUCUGAAUGGAAGGGCCAUCGCUCAACGGAUAAAAGGUACUCCGGGGAUAACAGGCUGAUACCGCCCAAGAGUUCAUAUCGACGGCGGUGUUUGGCACCUCGAUGUCGGCUCAUCACAUCCUGGGGCUGAAGUAGGUCCCAAGGGUAUGGCUGUUCGCCAUUUAAAGUGGUACGCGAGCUGGGUUUAGAACGUCGUGAGACAGUUCGGUCCCUAUCUGCCGUGGGCGCUGGAGAACUGAGGGGGGCUGCUCCUAGUACGAGAGGACCGGAGUGGACGCAUCACUGGUGUUCGGGUUGUCAUGCCAAUGGCACUGCCCGGUAGCUAAAUGCGGAAGAGAUAAGUGCUGAAAGCAUCUAAGCACGAAACUUGC
rnacentral:rRNA from 1 species